rnacentral:rRNA from 1 species
UAGCGGCGGACGGGUGAGUAACACGUGGGCAACCUACCUUGUAGAUUGGGAUAACUCCGGGAAACCGGGGCUAAUACCGAAUAAACCAUUUUGCUUCAUGGCAAGAUGUUGAAAGGCGGCUUCGGCUGUCACUACUAGAUGGGCCCGCGGCGUAUUAGCUAGUUGGUAGGGUAAUGGCCUACCAAGGCGACGAUACGUAGCCGACCUGAGAGGGUGAUCGGCCACACUGGGACUGAGACACGGCCCAGACUCCUACGGGAGGCAGCAGUAGGGAAUCUUCCACAAUGGACGAAAGUCUGAUGGAGCAACGCCGCGUGAGUGAAGAAGGUUUUCGGAUCGUAAAACUCUGUUGUAAGGGAAGAACACGUACGAGAGUAACUGCUCGUACCUUGACGGUACCUUAUUAGAAAGCCACGGCUAACUACGUGCCAGCAGCCGCGGUAAUACGUAGGUGGCAAGCGUUGUCCGGAAUUAUUGGGCGUAAAGCGCGCGCAGGCGGUUCUUUAAGUCUGAUGUGAAAGCCCACGGCUCAACCGUGGAGGGUCAUUGGAAA